ACACAUGCAAUGAUGAAGAAAAGUAAGCUGUCGAAACAAUUCAGAGAGCUGAUGGCCGGUGAGAAUCAGUGUGGGAAGGCAGACGAAUGGGCUUCUGAGCAUCCAGGCUGAAGUGGAAAGUAGGCUAUGGCGGAGAGUCUCACCGAUAAAAGAGGCAAUGUAUCGAGGUAUGUCCCUCUGUACAGGAAAGUGCGUUUGCUUUAUGUAAACGAAUGAAGGUGGCACCACGGGUUUCCCGUCCUUUUU
rnacentral:ncRNA from 1 species